ACACAUGCAAGUCGAGGGGAAACGACAUCGAAAGCUUGCUUUUGAUGGGUGUCGACCGGCGCACGGGUGAGUAACGCGUAUCCAACCUGCCCACCACAUGGGGAUAACCUUGCGAAAGUAAGACUAAUACCCAAUGAUAUCUCUAGAAGACAUCUGAAAGAGAUUAAAGAUUUAUCGGUGAUGGAUGGGGAUGCGUCUGAUUAGCUUGUUGGCGGGGUAACGGCCCACCAAGGCGACGAUCAGUAGGGGUUCUGAGAGGAAGGUCCCCCACAUUGGAACUGAGACACGGUCCAAACUCCUACGGGAGGCAGCAGUGAGGAGUAUUGGUCAAUGGACGAGAGUCUGAACCAGCCAAGUAGCGUGCAGGAUGACGGCCCUAUGGGUUGUAAACUACUUUUAUAAGGGAAUAAAGUGAGUCUCGUGAGACUUUUUGCAUGUACCUUAUGAAUAAGGACCGGCUAAUUCCGUGCCAGCAGCCGCGGUAAUACGGAAGGUCCGGGCGUUAUCCGGAUUUAUUGGGUUUAAAGGGAGCGUAGGCCGGAGAUUAAGCGUGUUGUGAAAUGUAGACGCUCAACGUCUGCACUGCAGCGCGAACUGGUUUCCUUGAGUACGCACAAAGUGGGCGGAAUUCGUGGUGUAGCGGUGAAAUGCUUAGAUAUCACGAAGAACUCCGAUUGCGAAGGCAGCUCACUGGAGCGCAACUGACGCUGAAGCUCGAAAGUGCGGGUAUCGAACAGGAUUAGAUACCCUGGUAGUCCGCACGGUAAACGAUGGAUGCCCGCUGUUGGUCUGAAUAGGUCAGCGGCCAAGCGAAAGCAUUAAGCAUCCCACCUGGGGAGUACGCCGGCAACGGUGAAACUCAAAGG
rnacentral:rRNA from 1 species